UAUUCAUUUGGAUCUUCUCUCUUUUUCUCCUGAUCGGUCUGACUAAAUGUUUAUGUAUUUCAUUGAUCUCAAAGAACACCCUUUGGUUCCAUUGAUUUUCUCUAUUGCAUUUCUCUUUUUUAUUUUAAAAUUUCUGCUGUGGAAAAAAAUCUUCUGUUUGCUUAUGGUUUGUUGAUUCUUUUUCUAGUUUCUUAAGGUGGAAACUGAGGUUUUUUAUCUGAGACUUUUCUUCUUUUCUAAUAGAGGUAUUUUGUACUAUAAAUUUCCCUCUAAGUGCUGCUUUAGAUAGGUCUUGCUUUUAUCCAGUCUGACAAUCUCUGCCUUUUAAUUGGGAUGUUUAGACCAUUUACAUUUGAUGUGAUUAUUCAUAUGGAUGAGUGUAAAUCUGCCAUCUUGCUGUUUGUUUUCUAUUUUUCCACCUCUUCUUUGUUCUCGUUUUCUUCUUCUGUUUCUUUUGGAUUAAUUAAGCAUAUUGUAAUCAUUCAGUUUUACCUCCAUAUUGGCUUAUUACUUUUUAUUUUUGUUUUGAGACGGAGUCUUGCUCUGUCACCCAGACUGGAGUGCAGUG
rnacentral:lncRNA from 1 species